UUUCUGAGAGUGCAAGAUUUAAAGUCACAGUGCAAGGAAAGACAGUAGUCAAGCUUUUAGGCAUAAUUAACCUAAGAUCAUGGCCCAUCCAAGGUUAAGAUGGUGGCCAGGAGUGGUGGCACAGGCCUUUAAUCCCAGGACUCGGGAGGUACAGGCAGAUGGAUCUCUGUGAGUUCGAAGCCAAACUAGUCUACAAAAUGAGUCCAGGACAGCCAGGGUUACACAGAGAAACCAUGUCUUGAAAAACAAACAGAACGAGAUGGGCGAACAGGAACACUUGUGAAAAGGUUUGGUUUUUUCCACAAAGUUUACCGUGAAAAGGACACCAUAAGAGUGUGUUUGCCACUAAAGGUGCCUCCCUUGCCAUGGUGGCUCACUCAAUGCAGUACGGUUUCUUGGUACAAGAACUCGUAAAACGUGUGCCAGGUUUUCUUUAGGUGGCCUCCAUCCCAUGAGUCAGCUCCAUGUAAGACAACCGGCUAUGCUGAGACCACAUUCCAGUUUUCCAAUUGUGCAUCCUUCAGACCAGCUCAGGUCCCAGACCAGUACAGUGACCUCUGUUGACAAUGUGUGGAAGGGUAAGCCAGCCCAAAUCUGAACUCCCAGAAUUCGUGAGAUUUAAUAAAAUGUAUAGGGUCCCCCCCACACACUCGUCCCCACAUUUUGGGAGAGCAUAUAGCCAUAGCAACUGUCAAUGAGAAUGUAUCUAUGCGUGUGGAACUGGACAGUGUGAGCCACGGGUGGUCAAGUUCUAGCCAGUUCUUGAGAUCAUUCAUCAUCUCUGACGGCUAUGAGGAGAACCACAUGUCACUUAUUAAGUGGAAGACCUAUGAUCGAUUGUUAUUUGUGAGGCCUGGAAAAGCUCAGAGACGGGAAGUGCCACCCGGAAGUCAUCCUACUGAGUUGUCGGAAUGCUCUUAGAAAAAGUGAGGCUUGGGUUUGGGGAUUUAGCUCAGUGGUAGAGCGCUUGCAAGGCCCUGGGUUCGAUCCUCAGCUCUGGGAAAAAAAAGAAAGAAAGAAAAAGUGAGGCUUGAGGAUUCCAAGACAGGUCCGCUGGGCUAAGCAGUAGUUGUGUAUUCAGCUUGUGGUUCUGGAGGUGGGGAAGGCCAAGCCCGGGCAACAUGCCGCAGCCUUCCCGCUGUAUCCCAGCAGCAGGGGAGAACGCUAGAGAAUGCCGAAUUCACUUUCCUAACAAACAGACUCUGGGAACACAAACAGUUGCAGGGAAGAGAGCUGCCAAGGAGAGCCACCCUCCCAAGCCACACAUCUUCUCUUCUGGUCAUUCUCCCUCCUACAGGACUUGCUUUAAAUAUAGAAAGAAGUUAAGGGCUGGGGACGUAGUUUGGUUGGUAUGUUGGAGUGUUUGCCUAGCUCUGGUUUGAUUCCCCAGCAACUGAAUAAAACAGGCGGAGUGGUAUAUGCCUUCAUCCUAGACCUCAGAGGAAAUGGGUUCCUAAGAAUUAAAUCUCAGCUGGGCCGUGGUGGCGCACACUAAUCCCAGCCUUUGGGAGGCAGGGACGGUAGAUCUGUGAGUUUGAGGCCAGCCGGGUCUACAGAGUGAGUUCCAGGACGGCCAGGGAUAUACAGAGAAACCCUGUCUCAAAAACAAAAAAAAAAACAAAUAAAUGGUAUUUUGGCUACAUAAAACCCUGCUGAAAACGUUAAAUAAAUAAGUAAAGAAAGCAAUUCGUCAACUACACAUACACAUAAUUUACAGAAUGAACAAUCACCAGAAAGUUAUAGCUUAAAAAAGUUAAAAAAAAAAAAAAACAAAACAAAACCAGGCAUGGUGGCACGUGGUUUUCAUGCCAGCAACUCAGGAGGAAGAGGCAGGUAGAGGAUCUCUGGGUUUGAAGCUAGCGGGGUCUACUAAGUGAGUUCCAGGAUGGCCAGGGCUAGGCAGGGAAAUCCAGACUUAAAAACAAACAAACAAACAAGCAAGCUAGGCAGUUGUGGUGGACGCCUUUAAUCCCAGCACUCAGGAGGCAGAAGCAGGCAGAUCACGAUGAGUUCGAGGCCAGCCUGGUCUACAUAGCUAGUUCCAGGACAGCCAAAGCUACACAAAGAAACCCUGUCUCAAAAAGACAAACAAAACAGUUUUUAUACAUACUACUAGAGACUGUACCUAGGACCACACAUAUACUGGUUUCAGUGGCCUGUCUGCACUGUCUAGUGGCAACACACACACACACACACACACACACACACACACACACACACACACACACACCUAUGACCCAGCACACAGAGAAAGUGAAGCUAUUAAAGCAGAGGGCUAAGCAAACGUGAACUUUGUUACUAAGCUCAGGUGGCUUCUCUCUGGGAGCGUCAACAGGCAUUGGUGACUCUGAUCCCUUGGAGGGUCCGAGUUUGUUUUAAAAGCUCUGCUUACACAAACCCUGUCUUUGUCUGCCUUUGUGCGCUGUGGCUCAUCUGGAGGAAGCCCCACACUGACAGGAAACAGACAGGCAACGAUGUUCCAAUGUGGGGAACAAUACCAGCCGAGACCGUGCGGGUACUACCCACAAGCUGAAUUCAGAAACAUGUUGGGAAAAUCCUGCUUCAAGAAAUCUUGAGGGAAUGCUUCGAUAGGUAAAGAUUAUAUUAGUUAAAUAGGCGGCAUGAAAAUAUUACAUAAAUGCCAUCAGAAUACAUCAUGUGCGUGUAUGAAAAUGUCACAAUGAGACCCAUUGUAUGUAAUUAGUACAUGCUAAUGUAGUCCUAAAAAUCACAUAAGAUCCAUCCAGAGGCACGAUAAUAACUCGUUUAAAAGGCUGUGCAUGUUAACACGUCAGGAAAAUAUACCAAUUUACUCAAGUUGUUGGUAUUCUGUCUAAGUUCCACCCCCACAGCUACCUAGCAACAGGCAGGUAGGCUCCGCCCCACAGUUGCCUGGCAACAGCCUAGGGGCUGCUUGCCCCCCUCCUCUUUCUCUUGCUCUCUCUUGCUCUUCUCUUCUCUGCUCUCGUGCCCCCUUUGUCCCUGUCCCUUCUCUCUAUCGCCCCCCCCCCCAUGUGCCCAUGGCCGACCUCCUUGGUUCCUCCCCUCUUCUACUCUUCUUCCCUCAUUAAACCUCUCCACGUGGAACCAUGUUGGCUUGGUGUGCUUUGUCCGGGCGCGAGCCAAGCUUCAAACCCCAACAAAAAUUAUUCCUUUAAAUUUUAUUUAUCUUAUUUUUUUU
ensembl:lncRNA